AGUGAAAGUAAAAAUGGGAUUGAAAGCGGAAGUGGGUGUGAAUGUGCGGAAAGUGAAAGUGAGAAAGUGAAAGUAAAAGUGGGAGCGGAAGCGGACAUGAAAGCGAGGGAAGUGGAAAUAGAAGGGAAUGAGGAAGUGAAGGCGAAUGAGAAAGUGAAAGUGAAAGUNUGGGCCAUACUGGGAGCAACUGGGAGCAACUGGGAGGGACUGGGAGGCACUGGGAGCCAUACUGGGCCAUACUGGGAUGGACUGGGCCAUACUGGGAUGGACUGGGAGCAACUGGGAGCCAUACUGGGAUGGACUGGGUCAUACUGGGAUGGACUGGGAGCCAUUCUGGGCCAUACUGGGAUGGACUGGGAGCCAUACUGGGAGCAACUGGGAGGCACUGGGUUGGACUGGGAGCCAUACUGGGAUGGACUGGGAGCAACUGGGAGGCACUGGGAGCCAUACUGGGCCAUACUGGGAUGGACUGGGAUGGACUGGGAGCCAUACUGGGCCAUACUGGGAUGGACUGGGCCAUACUGGGAGCAACUGGGAGGCACUGGGAGCGGUGGCGCCAUAUUGAAAUCCGUGGCUCCCUAUUUGGCAGCCGUGGCUCACUGUUUGGCGGCGUUGGCUCCCUAUUUAUUUGCUGUAGGCUCCAUUUUUAGCAGCGGUAGGCUCCAUAUUUAG
rnacentral:lncRNA from 1 species